UACGAAGGGAGCUAGCGUUGUUCGGAAUCACUGGGCGUAAAGCGCACGUAGGCGGAUUUGUCAGUCAGGGGUGAAAUCCCGGGGCUCAACCUCGGAACUGCCUCUGAUACAGCAAGUCUUGAGUCCGGAAGAGGUGGGUGGAAUUCCUAGUGUAGAGGUGAAAUUCGUAGAUAUUAGGAAGAACACCGGUGGCGAAGGCGGCCCACUGGUCCGGUUCUGACGCUGAGGUGCGAAAGCGUGGGGAGCAAACAGG
rnacentral:rRNA from 1 species